GGCAAUUUGAAAAACGGCCGCCGGAAAAACCAAUCCGGCGACCCAAGGAAGAAGAAGGUACGCGUGGGGGCGCGUAGGUCCGUGCCUUCCUUGGCGCGUGGGGGCGCAACUUUGUCAUUUCUCAACGAAAUCAAGUGAUUCAAAAACAAAAGUUGUAGCCCUUGAAGAGACAAAGAGAAUGGUACCUUGCACAACACCUAGUUCGCCGUGGUUUUGCCGGAAACUUCCUCGAAAGCCUCGGAGGUCGCCGAAAACUGGGUAUUUUUCAAAUGAGUAUAACUUAUUCAAUACUCAACAAAAUUGAGUGAAACAAAAAGGAAAGUUGUAGUACUUGACGAGACGAAGAGAUUGAUACCUACCUCGACUCCUAACUCGCCGGGGAUUCGCCGAAAAAACCAGUCCGGCGACCCAAGGAAGAAGAAGGUGCGCGUGGGGGCGCGUAGGUCUGUGCCUUCCUUGGCGCGUGGGGGCGCGUGCUACAGUAAAAAAUUAUUUUAAAAAUAUGUCGACGUCCGUGACGUCGAGUAGAUCACUGUGGUAUAUUCAUAUACCCAAAUUGAGCACCGUAUGAGAAAGUUAUUAAGGAUUGUUGUUUAGGUGUUCAAAUAACGUUUUAUAGUUUUUGCAUUUAGGUGAUAAUAUGAAUUGACGAUCCGACCGUUGGAUCGUUACCAAACUUUGAUACGUUGUAAUACGUAAUAUUUGAGGAUUAUUGGAACUUACGGAUUAGGAAUCCGAGUUACGGAUCUUCCGGAAUUGGAAUUGUAAGUUCAUAAAAUAAAAUGUUAACCGUCACUUAGUUUUGGAAAUUGACGGAGAUCCGACCGUUGGAUAGUAAUGAAAUUUUAGGAGGUUAUCCUAGAGAUAUAUUGUGGACCUCUGGAAGUUAUGGAUUUAAAAUCUGAGUGGUGGAUCUUCCGGAUCGAACUACGUAGUGACGUAUUUUAUAUAAGUUAUAUAUUCUAUCACUAUAAAUUCUGAGGUUGGAAUUGAUUAUUGUUUUAGGCGCCGAUCGUCAUGACGCCUUGGCGUAUUGUGCUAGGGAGUUGUAGGGCGAACUCCAGAUGAGUGGGCAGUUUUGUUUUCCGUAUAUAUAUACUUGACGUUUCCCCAGAAAUCAAAAUUAAAUGAAAAGUAUAUUGAAAUGUGAAUUGAGAUGCCAUGCAUAAAAGUAUAUGAAAAGUAUAUAGAAAUGUGAAUCGAAUUGCCAUGCAUGAAAUGAUAUGAAUUGAUAUAUGAUGCAUAUGAAUGAAUGGUGCGGCGACGCACAGGUGAGUAUCAGGUGAGUAUUUAAUUACUGUUAUGAUGAUGUUGAUAUAUAUUGAGCUCAAAUCCUGCACCAUGGUUUAGUGCUUAUAGUAUUCAUCGCAUCGCACGCUCGCCUUGGAUCCAAGUAGAUGCUGGUCGCACAGUCCACGCGGAGUGGGUGCGACGGGCCAGUCGUAAAGUGUUAGUGAGAUUUCGACUGGUGGGUGACCUUAGAUUAUGUGCACAUAUGAUUGAUGAGAAAGCACUAGAGCGUAACUUGUGUGCAGAAGGCCGUUCAGGUCACAGAGGUGACUCCGGCAGAGUGAGAGUGAUAGAUUUUGAGCUCUAGGUUCAACCGUACAGGGCUAUUAGAGGGCCUCCGGUUGAUUACUUUCUUGCACCUGAUAUAAUUAUUGUUGAUGCAUUCAUACUUAACUGUUGAAUUCCGACAUGGCAUGUCAUAUUUGUACUGAAAAAUGUUGAGUUAAUGAAUUGAAGUAUUGAGAAUAUAUAUGUAUAUUUAUAUUUUACAUUUCUGGGAAAGUAUACAAGUUUUACGGAGAGGGGUUACAAUGUUUUGAGAAAAGUUGGAUUUGAAAAGAUUUGUUUUACUGACCCACUCAAUUUUGGUUUUGCGCCCCUCUAGGUUAAAGAAUUGCAGAGGUGUGGUGACUACGAGGAAUUUAGCGGGGUUCUGACAGAAUGGACCAAAUUAGGACGCAUCUUCGGGUGUAUUAACUUUGAAGUUGUAUAAUUAAAGUUUCCGUACUGUGCAAAUGGUUACGUCACUCUCACGUGACGGCCAGCAUGCCCUUCGUCGGGAUGGGGUGUGUCAGUAAAUUUAUACCUGGCAACAAUUCAAUAGUGAACCUCAUAUCUCUGCCUGAAAACAACCCAGGUAUACUUUCAGGGAAGACAUCAAGAAAAGUCUAACCCCUUUUUCAUUUUUCACACUUCUCCGAGCAUCAUCCUUUAGUACCACAUGAACUAAGUAUUUUUGGGCAGCCUUUCAAAACAAUCUCUUUGCUCUCACAGCAUAAAUAACGGCCUGACUCAAUCCACUUUGUAUGCCCACUCAUUAAGAUAACCUCUGAUCAUAUUCUCAGAGUCCUCAAGACUCAACAGCAUCUCGUAUAUUCCUGGUAAGAAGUACAAUGGAUAGUGGUCACCCAAAAUACCACUUCCCUUUUUGCCACCCAGCUUAAAACAACAUAACACCUCCACCAAAUUAACAACAAUAUCUGGAUGGAACGAGGCAAGUCUGAAAACUUUCUAUAAUAUCCCUCGAUCAUCACCUUCCUUGUCUCAUAUUUGUAAACUCUUGUUACUACCAUCGAUAAAUGCCGGAGGGAUAAACUUUUCCUUAAACAAGUCCUUAAACAAUUUUAAAUCGGCUGAUUCCUCUGGUGACAACAAUUAACAAUCCUGUUUCCACCAGGAUACAAAUUCAUACCCAAAACCAGGUAGUCGUCUCGACCCCCUGUCAGAAGGAAGAUUCCUUUGACUUGCAUAAUCCGAAACUUUUUUUCCAAACGGUUAAACCGUCACUUCGUUCCCUCAGGUUCAUCAUUUCAUAAGGUGAUUCAAAUUCAACUCAUAACCCGUCUUAAAAUGUCCAUUUUGAUAAUAUACUGAAUCACCAUAAUAAUAGUUUCCCCCAAACCGCUAAAUCAGGGAGACUAAAUUCCUCUAACUACGUGGUUUGCUACGAGGCGGUGUAGUUCUGACAGAAUUCACUAGAACUUCUCAAAAUAUCCAAGAUUGCAACCAUGCUCUGAUACCAACUGACACACCCCAUCCCGAAGGAGGGCAUGCUGGCCGUCACGUGAGAGUGACGUAACCAUUUGCACAGUACGAAAGCUUUAAUUAUACAACUUCAAAGUUAAUACACCCGAAGAUGCGUCCUAAUUUGGUCCAUUCUGUCAGAACCCCGCUGAAUUCCUCGUAGUCACCACACCUCUGCAAUUCUUUAACCUGGAGGGGGCGCAAAACCAAAAUUGAGUGGGUCAGUAAAACAAAUCUUUUCAAAUCCAACUUUUCUCAAAACAUUGUAACCCCUCUCCGUAAAACUUGUAUACUUUCCCAGAAAUGUAAAAUAUAAAUAUACAUAUAUAUUCUCAAUACUUCAAUUCAUUAACUCAACAUUUUUCAGUACAAAUAUGCCAUGCCAUGUCGGAAUUCAACAGUUAAGUAUGAAUGCAUCAACAAUAAUUAUAUCAGGUGCAAGAAAGUAAUCAACCGGAGGCCCUCUAAUAGCCCUGUACAGUUGAACCUAGAGCUCAAAAUCUAUCACUCUCACUCUGCCGGAGUCACCUCUGUGACCUGUCCGGCCUUCUGCACACAAGUUACGCUCUAGUGCUUUCUCAUCAAUCAUCUGUGCACAUAAUCUAAGGUCACCCAUCAGUCGAAAUCUCACUAACACUUUACAACUGGCCCGUCGCACCCACUCCGCGUGGACUGUGCGACCAGCAUCUACUUGGAUCCAAGGCGAGCGUGCGAUGCGGUGAAUACUAUAAGCACUAAACCAUGGUGCAGGAUUUGAGCUCAAUAUAUAUCAACAUCAUCAUAACAGUAAUUAAAUACUCACCUGUGCGUCCGCCGCACCAUUCAUUCAUAUGCAUCAUAUAUCAAUUCAUAUCAUUUCAUGCAUGGCAAUUCGAUUCACAUUUCUAUAUACUUUUCAUAUACUUUUAUGCAUGGCAUCUCAAUUCACAUUUCAAUAUACUUUUCAUUUAAUUUUGAUUUCUGGGGAAACGUCAAGUAUAUAUAUACGGAAAACAAAACUGCCCACUCACCUAGAGUUUGCCCUACAACUCCCUAGCACAAUACGCCAAGGCGUCAUGACGAUCGGCGCCUAAAACAAUAAUCAAUUCCAACCUCAGAAUUUAUAAUGAUAGAAUAUAUAACUUAUAUAAAAUACGUCACUACGUAGUUCGAUCCGGAAGAUCCACCACUCAGAUUUUAAAUCCAUAACUUCCAGAGGUCCACAAUAUAUCUCUAGGAUAACAUCCUAAAAUUUCACUACCAUCCAACGGUCGAUCUCCGUCAAUUUCCAAAACUAAGUGACGGUUAACAUUUUAUUUUAUGAACUUACAAUUCCAAUUCCGGAAGAUCCGUAACUCGGAUUCCCAAUCCGUAAGUUCCAAUAAUCCUCAAAUAUUACGUAUUACAACGUAUCAAAGUUUGGUAACGACCCAACGGUCGGAUCGUCAAUUCAUAUUUUCACCUAAAUGCAAAAACUAUAAAACGUUAUUUGAACACCUAACCAACAAUCCUUAAUAACUUUCUCAUACGGUGCUCAAUUUGGGUAUAUGAAUAUACCACAUUGACCUACUUAACGUCACGGACGUCGACAAAUUUUUAAAAUAAUUUUUUAUUGUAGCACGCGCCCCCACGCACCAAGGAAGGCACGGGUCCACGCGCACCUUCUUCUUCCUUGGGUCGCCGGACUGGUUUUUCCGGCGGCCGUUUUCUGGGCAGUUUUUCAAAUUGCCAUAACUUUGUCAUUUCUCAACGAAAUCAAGUGAUUCAAAAACUGAAGUUGUAGCCCUUGAAAAGACAAAGAGAAUGAUACCUUGCACAACACCUAGUUCGCCGUGGUUUUGCCGGAAACUUCCUCGAAAGCCUCGGAGGUCGCCGGAAACUGGGUAUUUUUCAAAUGAGUAUAACUUCUUCAAUACUCAACGAAAUUGAGUGAAACAAAAAGGAAAGUUGUAGUACUUGACGAGACGAAGAGAUUGAUACCUACCUCGACUCCUAACUCGCCGGGGAUUCGCCGGAAAAAGCCUCGAAAGCUCCGGUCAAACUUUGAACUUGUCGAUCUCCGUGUUCUUACGUCUAGAAAGUUCCAACGAAGCACUCCGAGCUUCCUUGGGACCUCACUAAGCUCGCUGUGAUCUUGUUUUAGCCUAAAUCGUAACCAUUUAAAAGAUCCUGAACAGUACCAUUUCACGGGAACUUUGAAACUAGGGUUUUCCGAAGCAAAACUUAC
rnacentral:lncRNA from 1 species